rnacentral:rRNA from 1 species
CAGCCGCCGCGGGAACACGUAGGUGGCAAGCGUUGUCCGGAAUUAUUGGGUGUAAAGGGCUCGCAGGCGGUUUCUUAAGUCUGAUGUGAAAGCCCCCGGCUCAACCGGGGAGGGUCGUUGGAAACUGGGAAACUUGAGUGCAGAAGAGGAGAGUGGAAUUCCACGUGUAGCGGUGAAAUGCGUAGAGAUGUGGAGGAACACCAGUGGCGAAGGCGACUCUCUGGUCUGUAACUGACGCUGAGGAGCGAAAGCGUGGGGAGCGAACAGGAUUAGAUACCCCCGUAGUCCCUGUCUCUUAUAC